GAAGGUUCCAUUUCAUGAAUUUGGGACAAACAAUGUGGUGGAAAUUGUACGACGAAUUUGCAAAGGAUUCUAUCCAAUGUGUUGCCCUACCAAAUCAAAUAGCUUUAUGAGUAAUUUAUCACAAGCAAUAUUUAAAUGU